GAAAUGCGAUAAGUAGUGUGAAUUGCAGAAUUCAGUGAAUCAUCGAAUCUUUGAACGCACAUUGCGCCCCUUGGUAUUCCAUGGGGCAUGCCUGUUCGAGCGUCAUUUGUACCCUCAAGCUCUGCUUGAUGUUGGGUGUUUGUCCUGCUUCUCAGCGGACUCGCCUCAAAAUUAUUGGCAGCCGGCAUAUUGUCCUGGAGCGCAGCACAUUUGCGUCCCAUGGCAUACAUGCAGGCGUCCAUGAAGUCUACAAUUUACUCUUGACCUCGGAUCAGGUAGGGAUACCCGCUGAACUUAA
rnacentral:misc_RNA from 1 species